rnacentral:rRNA from 1 species
UAGGGAAUAUUGGACAAUGGGGGCAACCCUGAUCCAGCCAUGCCGCGUGAGUGAAGAAGGCCCUCGGGUUGUAAAGCUCUUUUGUCCGGAAAGAAAAGCUUCGGGUUAAUACCCCGGGGUUCUGACGGUACCGGAAGAAUAAGCACCGGCUAACUUCGUGCCAGCAGCCGCGGUAAUACGAAGGGUGCAAGCGUUACUCGGAAUUACUGGGCGUAAAGCGUGCGUAGGUGGUUGUUUAAGUCUGAUGUGAAAGCCCUGGGCUCAACCUGGGAAUGGCAUUGGAAACUGGGCAGCUAGAGUGCGGUAGAGGGUAGUGGAAUUCCCGUUGUAGCAGUGAAAUGCGGAGAGAUCGGGAGGAACAUCUGUGGCGAAGGCGACUGCCUGGACCAGCACUGACACUGAGGCACGAAAGCGUGGGGAGCAAACA